UAAUACUGCGAUGAUUUGAUUGAUUGAGUUUUGUAGCUACGGGAAACUGUAGGUAGGGGACGGUAGUGUAUGUGGAUUAAUUUUUUGAUGUAUGUAUGUGAGUGAAGUAAGUUGCAGGCCUAUCAACUGGUAGUUAGGGUAAUGGCCUAACUAGGUGGUGACGGGAGACGGGGGAUUAGGGUUUGAUUCCGGAGAGGGAGCCUGAGAGAUGGCUACUACGUCCAAGGAUGGCAGCAGGCGCGAAACUUGCCUAAUCUUUUGUAGUAGGAGGCAGUGAUGGGACGUGAUUUAGUGGUUGAUUGUAAAGAGAUUGACUUUGAUUGGAGGGCAAGUCGGGUGCCAGCAGCCGCGG
rnacentral:rRNA from 1 species